CCUACGGGAGGCAGCAGUGGGGAAUCUUGCGCAAUGGGCGAAAGCCUGACGCAGCCAUGCCGCGUGAAUGAUGAAGGUCUUAGGAUUGUAAAAUUCUUUCACCGGGGACGAUAAUGACGGUACCCGGAGAAGAAGCCCCGGCUAACUUCGUGCCAGCAGCCGCGGUAAUACGAAGGGGGGCUAGCGUUGCUCGGAAUUACUGGGCGUAAAGGGAGCGUAGGCGGAUAGUUUAGUCAGAGGUGAAAGCCCAGGGCUCAACCUUGGAAUUGCCUUUGAUACUGGCUAUCUUGAGUAUGGGAGAGGUUAGCGGAACUCCGAGUGUAGAGGUGAAAUUCGUAGAUAUUCGGAAGAACACCAGUGGCGAAGGCGGCUAACUGGCCCAUUACUGACGCUGAGGCUCGAAAGCGUGGGGAGCAAACAGGAUUAGAUACCCUGGUAGUCCACGCCGUAAACGAUGAGUGNUAGUUGUCGUCGAUGCAUGCAUGUCGGUCGGUACGCGACGACGUACG
rnacentral:rRNA from 1 species